rnacentral:rRNA from 1 species
UACGAAGGGUGCAAGCGUUAAUCGGAAUUACUGGGCGUAAAGCGUGCGUAGGCGGUUUGUUAAGUCUGCUGUGAAAUCCCCGGGCUCAACCUGGGAAUGGCAGUGGAUACUGGCAAGCUAGAGUGUGUCAGAGGAUGGUGGAAUUCCCGGUGUAGCGGUGAAAUGCGUAGAGAUCGGGAGGAACAUCAGUGGCGAAGGCGGCCAUCUGGGACAACACUGACGCUGAUGCUCGAAAGCUAGGGGAGCAAACAGG